rnacentral:rRNA from 1 species
GAGCCGAAGAAGGACGUGACAAACGACGAAAUGCUACGGGGAGCUGUAAGUAAGCAAAGAUCCGUAGAUAUCCGAAUGGGGGAACCCACCGCUUUUAAAAGGGCGGUACGCGAAAGCGAGGUAACGCAGGGAACUGAAACAUCUAAGUACCUGCAGGAAGAGAAAGAAAAAUCGAUUUCCUAAGUAGCGGCGAGCGAAAGGGAAAGAGCCCAAACCAAUGUGCUUGCAUAUUGGGGUUGUAGGACUCUCAACAAAGCGUAUGACAAAGUAUAGUAGAACUAGCUGGAAAGUUAGACCGUAGAAGGUAAAAGUCCUGUAUACGAAAUGCUAAGUUGGCGUGAGAGAGCACCUGAGUACGGCGGAACACGAGGAAUUCCGUCGGAAUCUACCAGGNNNNNNNNNNACUACCUAGUGACCGAUAGUGAACCAGUACCGUGAGGGAAAGGUGAAAAGAACCCCGGGAGGGGAGUGAAAGAGAACCUGAAACCGUGUGCUUACAAGUAGUCAGAGCCCUUUAGGGGGUGAUGGCGUGCCUUUUGUAGAAUGAACCGGCGAGUUACUUUAUCAUGCGAGGUUAAGUGGAAGACAUGGAGCCGAAGCGAAAGCGAGUCUUAAUAGGGCGAAAUAGUAUGAUGGAGUAGACCCGAA